ACGGGUGAGUAACACGUGGGAACGUGCCUUUUGGUUCGGAAUAACUCAGGGAAACUUGUGCUAAUACCGAAUGUGCCCUUCGGGGGAAAGAUUUAUCGCCAUUAGAGCGGCCCGCGUCUGAUUAGCUAGUUGGUGAGGUAAAGGCUCACCAAGGCGACGAUCAGUAGCUGGUCUGAGAGGAUGAUCAGCCACAUUGGGACUGAGACACGGCCCAAACUCCUACGGGAGGCAGCAGUGGGGAAUCUUGCGCAAUGGGCGAAAGCCUGACGCAGCCAUGCCGCGUGAAUGAUGAAGGUCUUAGGAUUGUAAAAUUCUUUCACCGGGGACGAUAAUGACGGUACCCGGAGAAGAAGCCCCGGCUAACUUCGUGCCAGCAGCCGCGGUAAUACGAAGGGGGCUAGCGUUGCUCGGAAUUACUGGGCGUAAAGGGAGCGUAGGCGGACAUUUAAGUCAGGGGUGAAAUCCCGGGGCUCAACCUCGGAAUUGCCUUUGAUACUGGGUGUCUUGAGUAUGAGAGAGGUAUGUGGAACUCCGAGUGUAGAGGUGAAAUUCGUAGA
rnacentral:rRNA from 2 species